CCCACACACUUCUUGCUCGAACCAUUUCAUGGCUUUGUAAUCACAUCUGAAGUCGGAAAUUUCCAGAAGCCCAAGGCCGCAGAGAGAACAAUCCUCCUCGACCCAAAUCAGCAGCUGCACCACCAUCACCACGCCGUCACCAAACCCACCGCACCACCACCCGUGUCGGAGCCAGGCUCUUCGAUCUAAUCUUGUGUUUGCAAAACCACAGGCAAUGCAAUAGAAAAGAGAAGAAGGCAAAUCAGUUUGAUCUGCAAUUUCACAAUCUUUGCAAAACCUUGGGCACUGCAAUAGAGAAGAGAAGAAGGCAAAUCAGUUUGAUCUCCAAUUUUACAAGUGAGAGGCCAUCAAGCUGUACCACAUCGAUCUGGCUCUGAGAUACAGAGGUUGGGUUGAAAACGAGGACUGAGAUUGGUAGAACUUUAGACCGGCAAUGAUGCACUGGACCUUAGGAGAGAUCCAAGAUUUUGGUCAAUUUUUGGAGGAAGCUUCAGCUUUGUUUCAAAAGAAGUGGCUGCUAAAAUUUUGAUCAAAAUUGUUUCAUUCAGUUAUCUAAAAUUCUGCUCGGGUGAGUUUUUUCUUACUAAAUUUUGUGUUAACAUGUGAAUGAAAAUAAUUUGGCUUUAAGUUUCAAUUCGAAUGGAGAUCCUGCGGCAAAGUGCGGGUCAAAAUUUCUAGUAAUUAUGUGAGCAAAAACGUGCCUCAUACCAACCUUCCUCUCUACUAAUUGUCAAGCUAUUCACAGCAUAUAAUCCUUUUGGAUUAAAUGGAUCGCAUCAUGGCUAGAAAGCUUUUUGAAGACGAAUGCUGGCUGUUGAGCAGAUGGUGGGGAUGCUUCACCACUUAACAUGAAAAAAAACAGCUUACAUGGUUGGUCGUCCAUUUGAAUCCUCUUCUACACGCAACAACCCAACUUUAAUACAUCUCAACACUUCAUUAGGCUGAUAUGACUCUAGUGAUGAGUCCAACAUUUCUAAGGCUCUGUCUUCUCUCAACAACUGGCAGACCUGUAGUUGAAAGGAUUAUUUGAAAGAUCAUAGGGAUGACUAACUUCUUUAGCAUGGUUCGUUACUCACAUAUCCUAUCAAGUUCAUGGAAUGAUCCUCUUGAAGACCGCUACUUUUCUUGCCACUUAGAAUCUCCAAUAGUAUGAUCCCAAAACUAAAGACAUCGGAUUUUGUGAAAAAAAUUCCAAAUACAACAUACUCUGGUGACAUAUAGCCACUGCAUAUGAAGAAAACACAAUGUUACAACCAAAAUGCAUUGUCGAAUGAAUAUGAAAGGGGUUGGUCGCCAUGGAAUAUUCUUGCCAUGCCAAAAUAUGAAAUUUUUGGGUUCAUUUCAGCAUCUAGAAGAACAUUGCUGGUUUUCAGAUCUCUGUGGAUAAUCCACAGUCUCGAGUCUUGGUGAAGAUAAAGAAGUCUGCGAGCAAUCCCAUUGAUAGUUUCAAGGCGCUCGUUCCAAUCUAAGGAUGUGCUUCUUCUAUGAUCUAUAUCAAGAGAUUUGGGUUUUAUGUCAAUAAAUGGGGUACAUGUUUAUUGGUCGUAGCUACAUUUCCUCAUGUCUUUGGAUAAGGCAUAUACAAAUGUAAAUUUGCUAGAGUGAUACCAAAAAGAAAGGAGUCCAAGUUACUGUAUGGCAUGUAUUCCAGGAUUAACAUCCUUUCUUCUCCCUUUAUACAACAUCCCAACAGUUUCACAA